UUUUAAAUCCGCUACCAGUGAUUAUCUGGUUUACAUUCCGCUUGUUAUUUCCGUUUGGUUGCGUUCAGCAAUAAAAUUUGGCCAUCGCGAACUACUAUUUGUACAAUACAAUCGCGUACUAUUGGUUCAUGUGGAAGUGGUAAUCAUAUCAUCAUAUAUCUCGUUCAAAAUAUUUAUACUUCAGACCACCUUCCAUUUAAUGGAACAGAAAGAGGUCAGUAAAUUUUUCAUAAAAUUUAUGUCGGAAAGUUUUCGCUCCGGACCUACAACUGCGCCUCAAAUCAUUUUGCGCCAGUCUUCUUUGGGUAGCAUUCGCUUAAGGUCAUAUUCACGAUUUAUCUGUAGGAAAGCGUAUAUCCACUUGCACCCGUCUACGUUGUGUUGCCAAAAUUGUGAAAAUAUCGCGGUCUGCUUUGAGAGAUGGUAUCACUCUCUUCUGGAGAACAAAUUCUAAUGACAACGCGCGAAGUAGGAGGCCUCCAGUCAUUUCCAAAACAGAGGACCAAUCGUUGGUAAUAGGGUCCAAAGUGCAUGGGAAGCUUACUGCAUCGGAAAUCCAAACGCGGUUUCACGAAACUCAUGAAAACAAAAGAAUCACUAGUCACAGUCAGAAUCGCUUGCAAAGAAUUGGCCUUUGAGACGGAGUUGCUACUAAGAAAUCAGUUUGGCGGCGUGGAAAUAGGCAGAAGAGACUUCAAAGGGCUCAAAGGCUGAAUCAUUCAAGAUUUAAAACGGACUUUAUGUACUGACGUUUUACUUCAACUUUUUCCUAACUUAAUCCCUUGUCCGGAAAUCUUUCAACGGCAGCGUAUAUACAGAGUGUAUCGGCUAAGUGGCAUGUUUGGGAUUUGCGGUGAAACGGUGGACAAUUUUGAAAAUCAGAUGUGACAACUAUUGAAAAUUUUUUGAUUGCCUAUCGAAUGGCCAUAUUAUUAUUGUUCGUUUAACUUUCGUUCGCAAAUAAUAAAAAUUAUGUUUGCCAUUUGAAACGAUAUCGGAAAAAGUUUAAUGUAAAAGUUUUAGUGCAAGAAAUAAUAACAGAGAUACAAAAAAUUCGUAUGGAUAGCAUAUAUAAUGAGGGAGUAUUUGCAUUCGAUGUUUUACCAUUUUUUGACAGAUUUCCGAUACUGGCGGCCUUAGCCUUCGUGCACCAGUUCUAUGCCGAAAUCACGAUUGGCAAUUGUUUUGAGGAGAAUCUGACUAAUUAAUGAAAGCAAGAAUAACGAAUCGUAGCUGUGCAAUUCCCUGAACAUGGCUAAGGGUACUGUCCCAUGUAUAGAAGACAGAACAAGAACAGCGGAAUCGGAAAAUAGUUUGGCGGUGGUUGACCAACCAUCUUCGUUCCGAAAAUGUCAUACGAUGCCCAGAUUCCCCAUGUACCAUAUUUUUCAGAAAAUGGGCAGACAUUCUGAUCUUAAAACUUUGAUAAACUUUACGAAUUCCAAAUCUUUACAUUUCGAUCUAUGCAAUCUUAUAGAUAAGUAAUAUUUCAUGAGUCUUUUAACAAUAUGUGUCCUUGUUAUUAAUUUUAA